GUGCAAGAUGGGCGAAAUCGCCUUAAGUUGAUCCUGGGCUCAGAAUAACGUUGGCGGCGUGCCUCAGACAUGCAAGUCGAACGCGAAAGUUCCCUUCGGGGAGCAAGUAGAGUGGCGCACGGGUGAGUAACACGUAGGUAAUCUACCUUCGGAUGGGGAAUAACAACCGGAAACGGUUGCUAAUACCGCAUAAUGCAGCGGCACCUAAUGGUGACAGUUGUUAAAGCGGGGGAUCGCAAGACCUCGCGUCUGAAGAGGAGCCUGCGGCAGAUUAGCUAGUUGGUAAGGUAACGGCUUACCAAGGCGAUGAUCUGUAGCCGGCCUGAGAGGGCGGUCGGCCACACUGACACUGACAUACGAGUCAGACUCCUACGGGAGGCAGCAGUCGGGAAUUUUGGGCAAUGGGCGAAAGCCUGACCCAGCAACGCCGCGUGAAGGAUGAAAUCCCUCGGGAUGUAAACUUCGCAAGAACAGGAAGAAUAAGUGAGAGUUAAUAUCUCUUACGAUGACGGUACUGUUUGUAAGCUCCGGCUAACUCCGUGCCAGCAGCCGCGGUAAUACGGGGGGAGCAAGCGUUGUUCGGAUUUACUGGGCGUAAAGGGCGCGUAGGCGGCCACCGCAAGUCGACUGUGAAAUCUCCGGGCUUAACUCGGAAAGGUCAGCCGAUACUGCGGGGCUAGAGUGCAGAAGGGGCAACUGGAAUUCUCGGUGUAGCGGUGAAAUGCGUAGAUAUCGAGAGGAACACCUGCGGCGAAGGCGGGUUGCUGGGCUGACACUGACGCUGAUGUGCGAAAGCUAGGGGAGCGAACGGGAUUAGAUACCCCGGUAGUCCUAGCCUUAAACGAUGAAUGCUUGGUGUCUGGGGUUUUAUAGUCCCCGGGUGCCGUCGCUAACGCUUUAAGCAUUCCGCCUGGGGAGUACGGUCGCAAGACUGAAACUCAAAGGAAUUGACGGGGACCCGCACAAGCGGUGGAGCAUGUGGUUCAAUUCGACGCAACGCGAAAAACCUUACCUGGGUUUGACAUGUCGGUGGUAGGAAACCGAAAGGGGCCCGACCCCGCAAGGGGAGCCGACACAGGUGCUGCAUGGCUGUCGUCAGCUCGUGUCGUGAGAUGUUGGGUUAAGUCCCGCAACGAGCGCAACCCUCGCCCCUAGUUGCCAACGGGUCAGGCCGGGAACUCUAGGGGGACUGCCCCGGUUAACGGGGAGGAAGGUGGGGAUGACGUCAAGUCAUCAUGGCCUUUAUGUCCAGGGCUACACACGUGCUACAAUGGCCGGUACAAAGGGUCGCAAACGCGCGAGCGGAAGCCAAUCCCAAAAAGCCGGUCCCAGUUGGGAUCGCAGUCUGCAACUCGACUGCGUGAACGCGGAAUCGCUAGUAAUCGCGAAUCAGCAGGUCGCGGUGAUACGUUCCCAGGUCCUCACUCA
rnacentral:rRNA from 1 species